rnacentral:rRNA from 1 species
UACAGAGGGUGCGAGCGUUAAUCGGAAUUACUGGGCGUAAAGCGUGCGUAGACGGUUAUUUAAGUCGGGUGUGAAAGCCCCGGGCUCAACCUGGGAAUUGCGAUGAAGACUGCAAGGCUAGAAUCUGGCAGAGGGGGGUAGAAUUCCACGUGUAGCAGUGAAAUGCGUAGAGAUGUGGAGGAACACCGAUGGCGAAGGCAGCCCCCUGGGUCAAGAUUGACGCUCAUGCACGAAAGCGU